rnacentral:rRNA from 1 species
GGAGCGAACGCUGGCGGCAGGCCUAACACAUGCAAGUCGAACGGACUCUUCGGAGUUAGUGGCGGACGGGUGAGUAACACGUGGGAACGUGCCUUUAGGUUCGGAAUAGCUCCUGGAAACGGGUGGUAAUGCCGAAUGUGCCCUUCGGGGGAAAGAUUUAUCGCCUUUUAGAGCGGCCCGCGUCUGAUUAGCUAGUUGGUGAGGUAAAGGCUCACCAAGGGCUACGAUCAGUAGCUGGUCUGAGAGGAUGACCAGCCACAUUGGGACUGAGACACGGCCCAAACUCCUACGGGAGGCAGCAGUGGGGAAUCUUGCGCAAUGGGCAAAGGCCUGACGCAGCCAUGCCGCGUGAAUGAUGAAGGUCUUAGGAUUAGUAAAAUUCUUCAGUAGGGACAUAAUGACGUACUACAGAAGAAGCCCGCUACCGUUCGUCGCCGAGCCUACGCCCGAC